AGGGGAUUUCAGCCUCGUUCUGAUUGGUUCACAGGAGGAAGAGGACAAUAUUUACUGAUGCAGUUUUCCGUCAUAUCUUAAAAUAUUUGAGGAACGUUGAAUAAAUGUAAACAUUAAAGGAGAGCUUUAGUUUUGUACGACACGUAGAAAUCAGUCCAGAGGCGCUCAAACUGCCGGACUGCCCUGAACUACAUUUCCCAUCAUGCCCAGGCUGUGACAUGUCAAUCAGGUGAUGUGGAAAGGUCAGGAAGGCUUUAUUUGACCCUCUGAGCUGCAGAUUCUCAGCUUCGCGUUAAUAUUUCUGUUGUGAUCAAUGGUUGACGCUUUAUUGUUGACAGUUUUGUAUUUUGAUGUAAAUCCGAUCGGUUCUGAAGACCCGCUUGUAUCCGGCUCCGUAGAGUUCAGUAGCCUUCACAGAGUUCAACUCUGAGAUGUUUUUUUCUGUUUCUUCUUCUCUGUAUCUGUGAGCGCGGUCGCUUCUCGGCCCAAACUGUCUGUUGGAUUUGCAAUAAACCUUCUGGUGGUUUGGUCACAAACUGGAGAAGCACGACUCCGUCUGUCUGCAUCAAGAUCACAGCUGUAGACGCUUCGGUUCCUCCAAACAGGUGACCUUUGACCUGCUGACAGGCCGGCAGAGAAGCUCUUUCUCCGAGCUUCACACUUAAUUUCAUUUUUUUGUAGGAAAAGGGAAAUUAUUCAUUGAUCCAAAACUUUAAAACAUAAUAAAAAGUAUUGUAAUUUAUUUUCAAAUUUUA